GGCUGACGAAGGCUGCUCAGCCUUGUUCUUUUCUCUUCUCUUCGGGCUCUCUUUGCAGAGAGUGUUCCCACAAGGAAAACUGCUUCAGAGGGGAAAAUAUGUCAGAUACGAACAAACCACGACAUUUUGGUCCUUGCUGUGGGAGGUGGACUUUGGCACCGUGUCCCGUGUCUGAUUAUAAUAAUGAGACCAUCCUUCUACAUGACUUUUG
rnacentral:lncRNA from 1 species